GACGAACGCUGGCGGCGUGCUUCAUACAUGCAAGUCGAACGAUAAGUUACCUUCGGGUAAUGGACAGUGGCGGACGGGUGAGUAAAAUGUAGAGAAUCUGCCUUUGAGAGGGGGACAACAGUUGGAAACGACUGCUAAUACCGCAUAAGCCCACAGGUCGGCAUCGGCCAGAGGGAAAAGGAGCAAUCCGCUUUGAGAUGGCCUCGCGUCCGAUUAGCUAGUUGGUGAGGUAACGGCCCACCAAGGCGACGAUCGGUAGCCGGACCGAGAGGUUGAACGGCCACAUUGGGACUGAGACACGGCCCAG
rnacentral:rRNA from 1 species